rnacentral:rRNA from 1 species
UGGGGAAUAUUGCACAAUGGGCGCAAGCCUGAUGCAGCCAUGCCGCGUGUAUGAAGAAGGCCUUCGGGUUGUAAAGUACUUUCAGCGGGGAGGAAGGCGUUGUGGUUAAUAACCACAGCGAUUGACGUUACCCGCAGAAGAAGCACCGGCUAACUCCGUGCCAGCAGCCGCGGUAAUACGGAGGGUGCAAGCGUUAAUCGGAAUUACUGGGCGUAAA